rnacentral:rRNA from 1 species
UACGUAGGGGGCUAGCGUUAUCCGGAAUUACUGGGCGUAAAGGGUGCGUAGGUGGUUUCUUAAGUCAGAGGUGAAAGGCUACGGCUCAACCGUAGUAAGCCUUUGAAACUGGGAAACUUGAGUGCAGGAGAGGAGAGUGGAAUUCCUAGUGUAGCGGUGAAAUGCGUAGAUAUUAGGAGGAACACCAGUUGCGAAGGCGGCUCUCUGGACUGUAACUGACACUGAGGCACGAAAAGCGUGGGGGAGCAAAACAGGG